CCUGAUCAGUCUUCCCAAAAGCCGUAUUGCUCCUCUAUAGUCUGUAAUGAAUGCUGCCGCCAGACUGAUUUUCCUCUCUAGUCAAUCCUCUCACACCUCACCCCUCUGUCAGUCCUUACAUUGGCUUCCUGUAUCCUAUAGGAGUCAAUUCAAAGUGCUAACCCAUAUCUAUAAAGCACUGAACAAUUCUAGCCCCUCUUAUGUCUCUUCACAGAUCCAUAGGUAUUCCCCUUCUCUGUCUCUCCGCUCUGCCCAUUCUCCUGUCCGCUGCUCGC